AGAGUGCUAUAAAAGAGUGGGGUGGCUGGUUGAGAAGGGAACUGGAGUUGGUUGGCUGCUUUGUAAAGAAGAAAGAGUCAGUGCCCAUAAGAAACACCAAGAAGCCCCAGCUUGGAAAAGAGAACACUACCACGAUGUGUCUGCCAUGGAAAACUCAAGAAAACUCCAGUGGAACUCUUGAAAAUUGUGGAGUGAAACUGCCUUAAUGGAAUCAACCAGGUCAUCUUCACUUCAAACAAGAACACCUGUGCAGACAGAUGAAAUUUAACUAAUUCCCUUCACCUUUAUAUUUCCAGGCAAUCUAGAUUACCUUCACAGGCCUUUGAAAAACCCUUACCACAUCAUGGUAAUUUCCUGCCAGCCUCUGGUGCCUUGCUCUUGUAUGUCUUUCCUCUUUUUGCCUGUACUUCUUGGCAGGGUUAAUGUAUUUUCUCCUGCUGUAAGAAACCUGGAAGAAGCAGACCACCCCUGUUGGACUCUGGCAGCAGCAGAACAAACAAGGUCUACAGCAGGUCUGCCUCAGAGUAAGGGCUGCAGCACUCCAUCCAAGCCACCCUGCAAGGGCAACAGCUAUCAGUUUUCUGGGAGAUGAGGCUGUCUGAGCAAAUCUGUUGCUGCAAGUCAGAUGCACAAUUCAGUAUUUCCUCAUACUUGGAAUACUUGGCACAGUGAUUAUGAAAAUAAAUAGCAAUUAACUCA